rnacentral:snRNA from 1 species
UCCGAGACAGUGCCCAGA